CUCUUUAACGGCCGCAGUACUCUGACUGUGCUAAGGUAGCAUAAUAAUUUGUCUUUUAAUUGAAGACUGGCAUGAAAGGCAUCAUGAAAAUAAGCUGUCUUUUAAAAAGUUUCUUUAACUUACUAAGAAGGUGAAAAUUCCUUCAUAAGAAAAUAAGACGAGAAGACCCUUAGAAUUAUUACUAAGCUCAAAUAAGAGGACAGUUUUUGUUGGGGCAACAUUAUCAAAAUCAUAACUGAUGAUCUUACAAACAUGAUAAGACAAUUAUAUUAAAUAAGAAUUUAAUUACCUAAGGGAUAACAGCAUAAUUCAAAUAUGAGAGUAUGACCUCGAUGUUGGACUAGGGACUUGCUUCACUAGUCGUGAAGGAAGCUUGUUCUGUUCGAACAACUUGACCCUACGUGAUCUGAGUUCAGAAGCC
rnacentral:rRNA from 1 species